GCAUCGGUGGUUCAGUGGUAGAAUCCUCGCCUGCCACGUGGGCGGCCCGGGUUCGAUUCCCAGCCGAUGCA
rnacentral:tRNA from 1 species